AUACAAGGGCCGCAGAUCACAGGGGAAUUUAUCUCAGGAGCUGCAGUGCUCCCUGACCGCCCUUCCUCCCUCCCCUCGCGACCGCGUGUGCGGCCGCGUUUGGCUCCGACCCGCUCAGCCUCCCCCUCGCACCCGCUGGUGCGAGGGUGUUUCCCCGGCCGUGUGUUUUCCACGCGCUCCACCGGCCAUUGGCGGAGGAGGAACUUGAUGCCCGCAACGUGCUCUGCAUACGGCGGCCAUCUUCCCUCUCACUCACACACGUGGCUGCUAGCGGUUCCGGCGGGUCGGCUCCCCUUCCCUUUGUUUUUUACAGGUAUUGUGCUUUUGUGGGUUACUCAACCCCUGUACUGUAGGUUUAGGAUUCCAUCAUUUUUUCCUGCUCUGUAAUAUAUACUGAUACUGGUGUCCCUGGCUGCCAUAGUUCUUGUGGGUGUCUGUUGCGCUGUGUAUAUUUAAAGGGACAUACCCCCCUUUUCCCACAAGUUUAUAUCUACCCUCCUGACUAUCAUGCAGGCUAGGGGUGAUGGUUCUGGCAGUCCCAGUUAUCCCAGUAUGGAAGCUUUUCCGGCCCCUUUCUCAGGUGAGGUGGGUCUCACCCCCUCUCAAGAGUUCCAGGCCCUUACUGACUCUACUAUGCAGAGGGCCCUGGCCUCAGCCAUGGGGACAGUUUCAUCGUCACUGUCUCAUACUAUUCAACAGGCCUUGACUCAGCCCUUGGUUUCUCCAAUGUUGGCAAGCCCCCUGCCUGCGCUGCAACCUCAGGUCAGUCGCAAGGCACAUGCCAAAACUAAACAUGUCUCCCCCGAUGUGACACAGGUAGUACCUGUCCUGACUAACGCGCCUCUGGCCGUCCAAGAUGGCGCGUUACCGCGCAAGAGAGCCGCUGGCCGGGCAAAAUCGGCCAGAAAGUGGAAAAAGGCGCGUGCCCAUGGCAAUGACGGAUCAGACUCCGAUCUAAGUGGGGAGACAGGUUCGGACACCCCCGACUACGCCUCUUAUGAGGAAGGGGACUCCGACGCGGAGGCGGGGUCUGACGCUUCGGCGCUACCUCCGAGUGGGGAACAAGGCAUAUGUGAUCCGCAGGGUUACCCCCUGUUCGAUCCUGAUGACCUUCGUCACCCUCGCUCGGCGGAAUGGGACCCGCCCGAGCAUAUCGCUAGUUAUCUAGCGCCACGUAUGCGUACCCCCUUGUCCAAGGAGGGGCGCAGUAAGUUACGGGCCGAGUGCCCAAGGCCCUCAGUACCUGACGCGGAGUGCAAGACGCCAGAGGUUGACCCUCAGAUUUCCCAGUUCCUGGCAAAAACGGUCUGGAAACCCAGAAAGAAUUUGGACACUUUAGGUCCCGUUGCUAAGCUUUAUGAGCUAUUGGAGACGGCUAAGACAGGGGACACCACCCUUGAUUUCGAUGUAGCAAUAGGAUGGGUCCAGAGACUGACUUGCCUUCUCAGCAAUGCUAACACGGCUAUGUCAGCCGAACGCCGCAAGGCGAUCUUGCUUAAAAUUGAGCCUAAGUUGGUAAACCUCGCAGUGAAGGAACUGGGCGCUGCCGCUAAGGGCAUGCUCUUUGGUGAGUCUUUCGUUAAAGACCUGGGCUCAUUUGUGUGUACCUUCACCGCCCUAGAUAAGGCCCAAUCCAACUUGAAACGCGUUUUUGGCCCAAAGGUUUUCCAUAGGGCCGGGAGGUAUAGGAGCCAGGUCCUCAUGGACUCAUAGAGGUUCCUUUGCUGCCCCUCGGGCCUACCAGGACUACAAGCCCGCUCCCUUCUUUCCCUCCCGGGGGAGGACGUGGCAGAAUCGGGGAGGACGUGGUCAGCCCUCAUACAGACGCCCUUACGGUGAGUACCCAGGAAUGUAUUUCUCUCCGGGCAAGUGUGGGGGGGGCAGUUUGGCUUUGUUUCUCGACAUGUGGGGCAUGAUCACCACAGAUGUGUGGGUUUUAAAUACGAUCAAAGGUUUUCGCCUAGAUCUUUUAUCUCCCCGUGUCCAGGUGGAUACGCCUCAGGAACUGAGAUUGCCGGAAGCGCAGUCCGGGUUGAUUACCAAGGAGAUCUCGGAACUUCUUGCCAAACGGGCAAUACAGGAAGUCCCAUACGAUCAUCCUGGAUUUCUAAGCAACCUGUUCCUCAUCGCCAAGAAAGGCGGAGGAGUUCGGCCGGUUAUCAAUCUCAAACGACUCAACGGAUUCCUUCGUUACCAUCACUUCAAGAUGGAAGGCAUACAUUGCCUCAGAGAUCUGCUUUGGCAAGGGGAUUGGAUGGUCAAACUAGACCUCAAAGACGCAUACUUGACUAUACCAAUGGCAGAGGUACACUGGGACUUAUUGCACUUUACGUGGCAAGGACGUCGAUGGAGGUUUACCUGGCUGCCCGUCGGUCUCUCUUCAGCACCUUGGUGCUUCACAAAGGUGAUGAAACUGGUGGUGGCGUUCCUCAGGUCUCGGGGAGUACGCAUGAUUAUUUACCUGGACAACAUACUGAUUAUGUCCGCAUCCCCCGACCAACUGCUACAGCAUCUGAGCUGGACGGUGGAUCUUCUGGAAAAAUCCAUGGUGACCCUGACGCAGAAAAUAGAAUUUCUGGGUUUCGAAGUCGAUUCAGUCGCCCAGUUCUUGUUCCUUCCAGAGGCCAAGCUAAAGGCUAUGAAGAAGGAAAUAAGACGUACUCUGUGGACCACCUCUCUCUCCGUACGACAACUGGCGAGGGUGAUUGGCCUUUUGGCCUCCUCCAUUCAGGCGAUUUUCCCGGGACCCCUGCAUUAUCGUGCCCUGCAACGUCUGAAGGGAUCCCACUUUCGCUCGGGCAGUUCGUACGAAAGCGAACUACGCCUGGACAGAGACUCCAAGGAGGAACUACUGUGGUGGUUGGACCAUAUGGAGGCAUGGAAUGAUCGAGCAAUCUUCGGUACCGCCCCAGAUAUGGUGAUAGAAUCGGAUGCCAGCCUGCAUGGUUGGGGCGCUCGCUGUGGAAAUGUCUCCACAGGUGGCAGAUGGUCCGAAAUCGAAUCGACACUACACAUAAACUGUCUGGAAUUGCCGGCGAGAUCAUUCGCUAUUCACAGCAUGUCUCCAGCUCUGGGAAACUGCUGCGUCCAUCUGCGCAUGGACAAUGUGUCCGCGGUCAGAUAUAUAAAUCACCUAGGUGGCACAAAAUCAAAACAACUGGCGAAUCCAGCAAAGGACUUCUGGCAGUUUUGCCUCCACUGCGCGGUGUCGGUCAUGGCCGAACACAUCCCGGGCUUGGACAACGAAUGGGCGGAUUGGAAUUUGCGAUACUUGAAAGACUCAGGAGAUUGGCACCUGCUGCCUUCGAUCUUUCGACAGAUAGAUCAACUAUGGGGCUCGUUACAACUGGACUUGUUCACAUCCAGAAUGAACGCUCAACUACCCCAAUACUUCAGUUGGAGACCAGAUCCAUCAGCCACAACGGUGGAUGCGUUCCUGCAGACAUGGCCUCGGGGUCGUCACUUUGCGUUUCCCCCUUUCAACCUGAUCUCUCGGACGCUGGCACACUUGACCAGACAAGAGUGCACGUUGGUGGUGAUAGUUCCCCUAUGGCAGACUCAGCCUUGGUUCCCACGUCUCUUGGAGAUGGCGACGGAUUGCCCACGAAUGAUCAAGAUGCGACCAGAGGUGCUUCUAGAUCCGGAUAGGAACUCACACGAAUUAGUGGACCAGGACCUGCUCCAGCUCACGGCUUGGUUGAUUUCGGGGGACUCUGGUGUGUCACGGACGUUCCGCAUGCUACUACAAGACUCCUGGAGAAUGCCUGGGCACCGGGUACCAGAACAGCUUACAAAUCUGCAUGGCGUGUGUGGUCUGGCUGGUGCGUGGGAAGACUGCUGGAUCCCCUUUCUGCCCCUCUGAAGGAGGUGCUCAGUUUUCUGACUACACUUUUUGAAUCUGGUUUGGCCUAUCGCACUAUUAAUGUUUAUAGAUCGGCCAUCUCAGCCGGACAUCUAGGUAUUGACGGAUCACCGGUUGGACAACAUUCUUUUGUAUGCCGAUUGUUGAAGGGUAUUCGUUACUCUACGCCUCCGAAAUCCAGGUAUUCAUCGUUUUGGGAUGUUAACGUAGUGCUGGGCUUCUUGGAAUCAUGGCCUCUUAAUGAGGAGCUGUCGCUGAAGCAAUUAUCCUUGAAACUGGUUAUGCUCCUGUGUCUCCUUUCAUGCAAAAGGGUUUUGGAUGUCAGGGCUUUGGACUGGAACGCAUUAUUCUUCACCCCGAGGGAGUGUCGUUUAACAUCUCUAGGAGGACUAAGACGUCUUCUAAGUCAGUGACCUAACCUAGGUGUUCAGUCCGACCUGCUCUCUGUCCGGUGGCUUGCCUACGGGUGUACUUGGAUUGCACUCACCAAUUGAGGUAAUUGGAUUUAUCCCAAUUGUUUAUUUCCUUUAAGAAGCCAUUUCUCCCAAUCUCCUCGUCUACGUUAGCUUGUUGGAUUAAGAAUCUUCUUUCCGCUGCAGGGAUCAAUACUUCAAUAUUUUCUGCUCAUUUGGUCAGAGGUGCCAUGGCGUCAAAAGCUUCCACGAUGGGAUGUCGUCUGGAUGAUAUCUUGAAGGCAGUGGAUUGGUCUAGAGAAUCUACGUUCCGCGAUUUUUAUUUCCGCCCGAUUGACCACGUUUCCUCGUUUGUUGUGGCUCAGCUUUAAACUAGCAUAAUAGGAGCCUCCGUGUCAUUAAUAAAAUUCCCAGAUUUUACUAAUAACAUGACGUAAAGUCAUGAUUUUAUUAAUGACACGGAGGCGAGUAUUAUUCCCACCCACCCGUUGGGUAUGGUUUGGAUCUACACUUAUGGUUCAAUUGGGGGGGAUCUUUUACCUUAAGGUAAGUGUUCACGGUUUUUCUCUUGAUUUAUGACGUAUAGUGGGGUCUAUUUACUGUUUGCUUAUGUGUUUUACAAUAGUUGGCAUAUAUAGUCCUACAGGUCAGAUUGUCAUGAUAUGUUACAUUCAGAUCCAGAGUUUGGAUUUUACCUACUAUUUCUCUGUUUUUACAGCUUGAUUUCGUUGUGAUGACGUCUACCUCGUUGGAGAUCGUUCUUUCCCGAUGUGGAUAUUUGGUUUGGGUCUUCGGUUCAGAAGGCAAAGAAGAGGAAGUGGAAGUACUAAGCAGGACAUUUAUGGACUGUUCCUACUAAGCUGAUUGGCUGCCCUGUUACUAGGCAGAUCUGGUUGUACCUGUUAUUAUAUUUCAUAUUUACAUUUUUUCUCUUUCAGUUUUAUAUUUCUCUUUGCUGCUG